rnacentral:sRNA from 1 species
CCCUAGCCCUGAUAGAAGUGGAAAUCCUUUUAUAAAGCUGGUAGCCUUUUGAAGGCUUCCAGCUUUAUAAAAGAUUGCAACGGAUAGCAGGAAAUAGC